CUUGACGGCGGGCGCGAUGGCGCGCGACAGCGACGACGAUACGAGCAUGCACGCCGUGGCUGCCGGCAUGAGCGCGUCCGACGCGCGGCGCCCCUGCGCAUAGCCGAUGUAGACGCAAAAGGUCCACGAAAAGAAAAAGGACCCCAGGAACCGGCUCACCACGCGCACGGUCACGUCGUCGACGGCAAACAAGAGGUUGGGCGCGGCCGAAAACAAGAGCGCAAAGAUGACGAGGCCCGCCGGACGGAACCAUCCGCGAUUGAUGGUGCGGCGCACGGGACCGACGAGCGUCGUGGCGAACCCCAAAGGCAUGGCGGCGGCCCGCGCGAUGGACAUGAGGGCCUUGACCGAAUAGGGUCCGCCGCCGGGCCGAUCGGCGAUCUCGACGGUGAGCGCAAAGACGACAAAGUUGGGAAUGAGCGCCGCGAGCCAAUACAGCCCGGCAGCCGGCGCCAUCCACGCCGCCGUCGCCCACGUUCGAUCGCCCACCCACCGUCGCGCCGACCCCCAUCGCGUGCGCGCCCUAGACUUGCCUCUCGCAGGCCCAACGACGUCGGGCGGCGACGUCGUCUUGUUGUCGCUGCCUUCCUGCUCACCCAUUUUUUUUACCGUGCGCUCUUUUUUUUUCUCCUAGGUCGGCGUCUCUCUUCUUUUUUCCAGUGGGGGCUAUUUUUACCUUUUCCUUGCUAGGUCGGUCUUCUUUUGCCGCCGCCGCUGCUCUUGGUGUGCCUCUGCGCUCCUGUGCGCGCAUGUAGGGGAGGUCGCACAAAAAUGUCGCGGGGUGGACG
rnacentral:lncRNA from 1 species